UGAUCCUGGCUCAGAUUGAACGCUGGCGGCAGGCCUAACACAUGCAAGUCGAACGGUAACAGGAUAGCUUGCUAUCGCUGACGAGUGGCGGACGGGUGAGUAAUACUUAGGGAUCUGCCUCUGUGUGGGGGAUAACUAUUGGAAACGAUAGCUAAUACCGCAUAAUGUCUACGGACCAAAGCGGGCUUCGGCUCGUGCGCAGAGAGGAACCUAAGCGAGAUUAGCUAGUUGGUGAGGUAAAGGCUCACCAAGGCGACGAUCUCUAGCUGUUCUGAGAGGAAGAUCAGCCACACUGGAACUGAGACACGGUCCAGACUCCUACGGGAGGCAGCAGUGGGGAAUAUUGCACAAUGGGGGAAACCCUGAUGCAGCCAUGCCGCGUGUGUGAAGAAGGCCUUCGGGUUGUAAAGCACUUUCAGUUGUGAGGAAAGUUUAGUAGUUAAUACCUGCUAGAUGUGACGUUAGCAACAGAAGAAGCACCGGCUAACUCCGUGCCAGCAGCCGCGGUAAUACGGAGGGUGCGAGCGUUAAUCGGAAUUACUGGGCGUAAAGCGCACGCAGGCGGUCUGUUAAGCUAGAUGUGAAAGCCCCGCGCUCAACGUGGGAGGGUCAUUUAGAACUGGCAGACUAGAGUCUUGGAGAGGGGAGUGGAAUUCCAGGAGUAGCGGUGAAAUGCGUAGAGAUCUGGAGGAACAUCAAUGGCGAAGGCAACUCCCUGGCCAAAGACUGACGCUCAUGUGCGAAAGUGUGGGUAGCGAACAGGAUUAGAUACCCUGGUAGU
rnacentral:rRNA from 1 species